CGUCUAUAUACGUAUAGCAUAUCAAUAAGCGGAGGAAAAGAAACUAACUAGGAUUCCCUCAGUAACGGCGAGUGAAGCGGGAAGAGCUCAAAUUUGAAAUCUUCAAGGUUCUACCUUGACGAAUUGUAGUUUAAAGAAGUGUUUUCUGUUGGAGUUUUGGUAAAAGUUCUUUGGAAUAGGACAUCAUAGAGGGUGAGAAUCCCGUAUUUGACCAUUAUUUCCAACUUUGUGAUACACUUUCAAAGAGUCGGAUUGUUUGGGAAUGCAGUCCAAAAUGGGUGGUAAAUUUCAUCUAAAGCUAAAUACUGGCGAGAGACCGAUAGCGAACAAGUACCGUGAGGGAAAGAUGAAAAGAACUUUGAAAAGAGAGUUAAACAGUACGUGAAAUUGUCAAAAGGGAAGCGUUUGACACCAGUGUUGUUUUCUCGAAAAUCAAUUAAAAAUGGUGGGAUUUUGUGUUGUAUUGACUUUAUCAGCUUUCUGCACUUUUUUCCUGAUCUUUUUUAAUGCACUUUUCGUUUAACAAGUCAACAUCAAUUUCUUUUGUUGUAAAAGAGUCAUUGGAAGGUGGCUUUCUUUUCGGAGAAAGUGUUUAUAGCCUUUGCCUUCUGCAGUCGGAGAGAUUGAGGUCUGCAGCGUAGAUCCUUCGGGGUUAGAUACAUUUGUGCUAAGUUAUAGGCCUUUCAUAGACAACUUGUUGACUAUGAUCAGUCAUGUAGCUUACUCGCUUAUGCUAUUUUACCUACGCUUAGGAUGUUGACGAUCAGCUGAGCGCG
rnacentral:rRNA from 1 species